GGCUUCAAACCAUGGAUCCGUGCUUCAAACGGUUUCGUGAGGUAUAAUAGACGAAAGCUACGUAGAGAAGUAGGGACCAUAGUAGAAGGAUAGUAAAGUUGCUUCUCUCUCUCUCUCUACGUAGAAGGAACGACACGGGACAACACAAGCGCGGUUCCUACUAUGUAGCUUUCGUCUAUUGUCAGCGCGAUUGUCAGGUCCUUUGGCUCUUCUAGAGGUGAAGUUUGUUUGCAGGCGGUCGCUGCUUGCCAUCUGCUUGCACAGCGUGAGUUAGUAGCGCGGUCGAGGCCACAGGACCACUAAGGGUGCCAAGUGAAAGCCACCGUGGUAGCUGCAUGGACAGAUCUUCCAGAUUUCACUUGGAGGCCGUCUACCUGCUAUGACUAAAAGCUGCCGACUGUGACGUUGUGUGCAGAUUCAUCACCCUAUCCACAUCAACGAAACUGUGACUGAACAGUGCUUUUGUUUGAACAUUAUAUCGGAAUGUUGCUGGUACACCAUGCUUUCUUUGCCAAAGCCUCAUUCUUUUGUGUUCAAGGUGCAUCCAAUUCUUUUUUAAAAUUUCUUCCUUGUGUAAGAACUUCUCGUUUCUCUGAAAACUGCAUUCAUGUUUUCCUGUUUCGAGGCUGUGCCUCAGUCAAACAAGGUAAUACUGCACAAACGUAUCACAAGGUGUAUUGUUGAAUAUUACAAUGCUGUCCUUUUGCAUAUGAGUUUCUGUGCGCAUUAAACUUGUUCUACACACACAGAAAUUCCAUAUACCUGUGUUCAGUUCAUAUGGGCUUCACAUUAUAAAAGUUUAAAGCCUUACAAGUGCAUGUGCACAAAUGGAAAGAGCCCAGUGGGAGAUGGGGAGCAACACCAGUGCUUGGUGCUAGUUCUUUACCCUGUUUGCACUAUAAUGUUCAUUUCACAUACCUUUAUCUCUUGGGUUAUAAGAAGUUUAUGCUGAAAUCUCUUGCACUCUUUUUUCUUACUUUGUGAAGCAAGCGGUGCACAAAAGUGAAGUUCCUUGGACUUCUGCUGAUGCUUGCUUGUGAAAUACGUACUUCAAAAAGUCAAGAGGAAGAACUCGAGAACAUCACCUGAUGCAAGAAAGUCCCAGCAGGGUUGGAUAUUUUGAAGACAGUUUUUGUGUUUCUAGCGUAGUGUUAUGGAAUUUGACAGAGUAAAGAAAUGCUACAUGGAACGCUGAUCCGUACCCUUCAAUACCCUUGGAACUCGUGCCUCUGAAGCCUGUAUGUUGUAUUUUAUUUUGUUAUGAAUAAUAAAGUGAACCAAUAAUUGGGCUUUCACUGAAGUAA
rnacentral:lncRNA from 1 species